rnacentral:lncRNA from 1 species
AGGAAGUGAGCAACUGUACCCCAUAGUUGUAAAAGAUCUUGAGCACCCUGGACACAUGCUUAUAGAGGUAUCUCUCAUCAUCUCACUAUUGAGCCCAUGGCUUUGAGCGUGCUAGGGUUUAGCAAUUUUUCUCAACAAUAAUUUGAAGGACUCUUCUGAAGAUCAUUCUCAUCUGCUUUGCUGUGGACCCAGUAUGCUUAUUUUUACUUGUUUAUAUUUGACCAGAUGCUUUGUAAUGACCAUAGUCGCUUUCUGGAAAUUGCUGAUGUGAUUUAUCGUUUGCAACUAACUGUGCUUAAGGGUGUCAUGGAAAGACGCAGCAACAAUACAUGGGCCUGCUUUGUUGUCGAGGUUUACAUUACUCCCCAUACUUGCGUCAUAGAAUUUAUUUAUAUACACAUGAUAAUUAUGCCUGCAUGCAUUCAAUAACUUAAAACAUAUUCAUGCUUUUUUUUUUUUUUUUUGUUGCCCAUAUACUGCAUGUAUUAUACUUUAGCGAAUGAUUAUUCCUAAUGAUUCAAAAGUGAAGAGAAUAGAAAGCAGUUUGGCUGAAGUAUUUAUCUACGAGUAUAGACCAACUGUACAUCUAGUGAAUUGGGCAUUAUCUUGAGCCAAAAUCCACGUGUCAUAAAAUACCUAUAUUUAUACUUCUAAAAUAUUCUCUAUUCUAGUCUUCUGUAUUAGUUACUGAAGAUUCACGCAACAAGAAUCUCAGUUUAGAGGAAACAUUAACAUGAGAAACAAGGACAUUGACUUCAUCAUAUUUGAUAGCUGGAAAAAUUUCUGAAAACAAAUAGGCAAGUUCCUGAUUAUUGGAAAAGACACAUUUCUUAGGUAAAGAUAUAGUUUUUGAAUGGAGAGAAUGAAAAACAUUACGACAUUGUCUCUAAACCAUGGCUGGUGAAUAAGGGGAUCUUUUUAAUGUUUUUCUGGGUAAAAUUGUCUAAGGCUAUUCAGAAGAUGAUUUUGUUUCAUUCAUUUGAUCUUACAGACAGGGAAAAACUGUUGAGAAAGUAGAAAAACUGGUUUAGACAACCGGAGAGUAGAAAUGCUAACUUCAAAAAAGUAUGGUAAAAUACUCAUAAAGGAUAAGCUGCUUGUGCCUGGUAACUUGCAUUGAAAUAAAAUUUUCCAUAACUACAUAUACUGCCUACAGAAUAGGCACCAAACUUUUUCCUUUUCCUCUAGAGCUUAACUGUGGAUUAUUGAGAAGCGCAUAGUGGCCACACUGUGUUUAGUUGUGUAUUUUAUUGAUAAUAGCUGCUGAUUUUGGAUGUGAGAUCAAUUUUUGAUUGGAUAUUUUCUUAUUAAUAUUGAUAUUUACUUUCUUGCAAGAUGAAAAUUGCAGUGUUAUUUUGUAUGCAGUGAUGAUAUAAGGGUUUUAUGAUAUUUUAUAGUGUUGCUGAAACUAUUAAUAAAAGUGAACUACAAAAGUUCCAAUAUAUAUACAUUAUUGGACUGUUAUUAUGGACCUUGAAUAACAGUCCGGAAGAUCUCAUGGACUGGUUCCAACAGUUCAUCACAGAAGAAAGGACUCACUAAGCCUUCUUACGAUAUUCUGUAGUGUUGCUGAAACUAUUAACAAAAGUGAACUACUACACUUCCUUUGGUAGAUCUAUUGAAAACGGCAAUAUAUAACAUUUGACUUCUAUCUUAAUCAUUUAUUUAUGAUGAAUUGUACCUUUGACUUGAACUACAGCAAUUCCCUUGGUUUGCCAAUUAUGAUGAAGUGCUACCUCUAGGGUUCUUCAUUUUUCAUUACCUUUCCACCUCAGAUUAUUUUGUCCGGUCUAGUAUUUAUCCUGGUUUAAUAUCGCUUGCAAUGCAGGCCACAAGAAACUUUCAUCGUCUGGAUAUCUUCUGGCCUUUGAUGCAGCUUCUGCAACAAAAUCAGACAGCGAGCUCGAGCAAAAUCUAAACUGUAUGAAUAUGUUUAUAUUCUAGUGUCAUGUCAUGUGUACACAACAAUCUCAAAUUCAACCGCCUGUCAAUAUUUUUAUUUUUAUUGGAAUAAUUAGCAAUUGGUAACAAUGAAAAUUGCUGAUGCUCUACUAUAUACUAUUUAGUAAUCAUAGACCCAAUGUAACAUUUUUAGCCAUUUUAUUUUUGACAGGAAAAACUAGAAACAUAUUUUAUACACACUUAAAAACACUAUCAAACAAACAUUCCUAAAUAUAUAGUCUACCUCUUAUGUAUAGCGGAAGUUAAUCUGGCAUUUGGGACAUCUCUCACGCCAUAAGUAUACUCUUUUCUUAAAGAAAAAUGAUCUAUUACACACUUCACAAAAU